UGACGCUCUCUUGCGGAUUAAGCACAUUGUGUCAGUCAGGGAUUUAUAUCAAUGUCUUAGAUAUUGCUCCAAGGUAUUCCAGUUUUCUCAUGGGAGCAUCAAGAGGAUUUUCGAGCAUAGCACCUGUCAUUGUACCCACUGUCAGUGGAUUUCUUCUUAGUCAGGACCCUGAGUUUGGGUGGAGGAAUGUCUUCUUCUUGCUGUUUGCCGUUAACCUGUUAGGACUACUCUUCUACCUCAUAUUUGGAGAAGCAGAUGUCCAAGAAUGGGCUAAAGAGAGAAAACUCACUCGUUUAUGAAGAAAAUGCCAGAAAUUGCCCAGCAUGAAACAGGACAGUACAAACAUUCUGCAACACACAGAAGAGGACCAGCAGAAUCUGGACUUUUGAAAAAGAAAAAAUCUAACUGAAUAACAACAUCAAAGUCUCCUGGGCAAAGGGGUUAAAGAUUUACAACAUUUCUUUAGAGGAAAAAAAUAACUGGUUGAAUUUACAGAGCAUCUGCUAUGUGCCAAACAUUUAAUGAGCACUUUAAAAGCAUGAUAAAAAUUAAAAAAAAACUUGUUAAGCAUGAAAUAAAUUACCUAUAAUGCAAAAUCA
rnacentral:lncRNA from 10 species